rnacentral:rRNA from 1 species
GAAGGAACUAGGCAAAAUGGUACCGUAACUUCGGGAGAAGGUACGCUCUUAUCAGUGAAGUCCCUUGCGGAUGGAGCAGACGAGAGUCGCAGAUACCAGGUGGCUGCAACUGUUUAUUAAAAACACAGCACUGUGCAAAAUCGUAAGAUGACGUAUACGGUGUGACGCCUGCCCGGUGCCGGAAGGUUAAUUGAUGGGGUUAGACUUCGGUCGAAGCUCUUGAUCGAAGCCCCGGUAAACGGCGGCCGUAACUAUAACGGUCCUAAGGUAGCGAAAUUCCUUGUCGGGUAAGUUCCGACCUGCACGAAUGGCGUAAUGAUGGCCACGCUGUCUCCACCCGAGACUCAGUGAAAUUGAAAUCGCUGUGAAGAUGCAGUGUACCCGCGGCUAGACGGAAAGACCCCGUGAACCUUUACUACAGCUUGGCACUGAACAUUGAACCUACAUGUGUAGGAUAGGUGGGAGACUUUGAAACCGCGUCGCUAGAUGUGGUGGAGUCGUCCUUGAAAUACCACCCUUGUAGUUUUGAUGUUCUAACGUUGGUCCCUGAAUCGGGAUUACGGACAGUGCCUGGUGGGUAGUUUGACUGGGGCGGUCUCCUCCCAAAGAGUAACGGAGGAGCACGAAGGUGGGCUAAACACGGUUGGACAUCGUGUGGUUAGUGCAAUGGCAUAAGCCCGCUUGACUGCGAGAAUGACAAUUCGAGCAGGUGCGAAAGCAGGUCAUAGUGAUCCGGUGGUUCUGAAUGGAAGGGCCAUCGCUCAACGGAUAAAAGGUACUCCGGGGAUAACAGGCUGAUACCGCCCAAGAGUUCAUAUCGACGGCGGUGUUUGGCACCUCGAUGUCGGCUCAUCACAUCCUGGGGCUGAAGUCGGUCCCAAGGGUAUGGCUGUUCGCCAUUUAAAGUGGUACGCGAGCUGGGUUUAGAACGUCGUGAGACAGUUCGGUCCCUAUCUGCCGUGGGCGUUGGAAAAUUGAAAGGGGCUGCUCCUAGUACGAGAGGACCGGAGUGGACGAACCUCUGGUGUUCGGGUUGUCAUGCCAAUGGCAUUGCCCGGUAGCUAAGUUCGGAAUCGAUAACCGCUGAAAGCAUCUAAGCGGGAAGCGAGCCUUGAGAUGAGUUUUCCCUG